rnacentral:tRNA from 1 species
GUAGAUAUAGUUUAACGAAAACACUAGAUUGUGAUUCUAGAAACAGAGGUUAAACCCCUCUUAUCCACC